rnacentral:lncRNA from 10 species
GCUGGAGUGCAAUGGCGCAAUCUCAGCUCACCGCAGCCUCUGCCUUUCAGGUUCAAGCGAUUCUCCUCCCUCAGCUUCCCGAGUAGCUGGGAUUACAGGUUGAACUCAUUCCAGACCAAGAAAAGGAACUGGACACUACAAGAACUCACAGAAUAUGAUCAAGCCACUUUUGCCUCAAGCAAACACAAACAUCAAAGGACUUCAUUGAUCAAUUUUAUAAAAAGUACUUUAACUUGUCAACCCUACUUUUCAUCCAAUUUGGUCUGAAUUCUGGGAGUGGGGGUGAUGGGAUAGGUCAUACAAACUGGAACUCCAAGAAAAGAUUUUUAAAACCCCAUUAAGUUUUGUUCCUUACUCUAGAAGGGUCCCUAUGUCUAACGUUUAAUUGUUUCAUCUACAAUACUAUAAUCCUCCUUUAAAUCCAAACUCAGCUGAAUAUCAAUACACGGUUGCUACGAAUGGCUUUCCUCAGCUAUC